GUUCGAGAGGAGGUAGUAGGAUCCACUCAAACACUACAGUGGAAGUGUGUUGAAUCAAGAGUAGAUAGUAAGCGCCUUUAUUAUGUCCUACUCACAUUGGACCCAGUGCUCAGGUAG
rnacentral:rRNA from 1 species